rnacentral:rRNA from 1 species
CGAUCAAAUUCCUGAUGAGAUUUUAGUCGAACUAGACUGGAAUCACUCCAAUGAUCAGAACCUUAUGAAAUUUUAGUCAAAUUUGAUUAGAAACGUACCAAUGAAAAGAUGAACAACUCUGAAAGCAUUUGCCAAGAAUGUUUUCAUUAAUCAAUAAUGAAAGUUAGGGGCUCGAAGACGAUCAGAUAUGGUCCUAGUCUCAACCAUAAACGAUGCUGACCAGGGAUCGACGAAUGUUGCUUAUAGGACUUCGUCGGUACCUUAUGAGAAAUCAAAGUUUUUGGGUUUCG